rnacentral:rRNA from 1 species
GACGAACGCUGGCGGCGUGCUUAACACAUGCAAGUCGAACGAAGUGGCGAACGGGUGUGUAAUACGUGGGUAACCUGCCCUCCUUUUUGGGAUAAGUCUUGGAAAUGGUGUCUAAUCCCUUAUAAUGGGGGAUGGGCUCGCGAACUAUCAGCUGGUUGGUGGGGUGAUGGCCUACCAAGGCGGUGACGGGUAGCCGGCCUGGGAGGGUGACCGGCCACAUUGGGGCUGGGAGACGGCCAAGGAUCCUACGGGAGGCAGCAGUGGGGAAUAUGGCACAAUAGGGGCGAAACUGGUGCAGCCGUGCCACGUGUAUGAAGAAGGCCAUUGGGUUGUAACGUACCACGGAAAGGGGUUCGUUAGCCGGAGAAGAAGCACCGGCUAACUCCGUGACAGCAGCCGCGGUAAUAC